AUACUUACCUAGCAGGGAAGAUACCAUGAUCACGAAGGUGGUUUUCCCUGGUCGAGGCUGAUCCAUUGCACUCCGGAUAUGCUGACCUGUGUGAUUUCCCCAAAUGUGAGAAACUCGACUGCAUAAAUUAUGGUAGUGGGGGACUGCGUUCACGCUUUCCCCUA